GCCUAGCCUUAAACAUCGAUAGCAACUUACACCUGCUAUACGCCUGGGAACUACGAGCACCAGCUUGAAACCCAAAGGACUUGGCGGUGCUUUAGAUCCACCUAGAGGAGCCUGUUCUAGAACCGAUAACCCCCGUUCAACCUCACCUUUCCUUGUUUUUCCCGCCUAUAUACCACCGUCGUCAGCUUACCCUGUGAAGGCCUAAUAGUAAGCAAAAUUGGCAUAGCCCAAAACGUCAGGUCGAGGUGUAGCGUAUGGAAGGGGAAGAAAUGGGCUACAUUCCCUUAUCCAGGGAAUACGAACGAUAAACUGAAAUGUUCAUCCAAAGGAGGAUUUAGCAGUAAGUAGAAAAUAGAGUGUCCUACUGAAAAUGGCCCUGAAGCGCGC
rnacentral:rRNA from 1 species